UUAAGCGACUAAGCGUACACGGUGGAUGCCCUGGCAGUCAGAGGCGAUGAAGGGCGUGCUAAUCUGCGAUAAGCGCCGGUAAGGUGAUAUGAACCGUUAUAACCGGCGAUACCCGAAUGGGGAAACCCAGUGUGACUCGUCACACUAUCAUUAACUGAAUCCAUAGGUUAAUGAGGCGAACCGGGGGAACUGAAACAUCUAAGUACCCCGAGGAAAAGAAAUCAACCGAGAUUCCCCCAGUAGCGGCGAGCGAACGGGGAGGAGCCCAGAGCCUGAAUCAGCAUGUGUGUUAGUGGAAGCGUCUGGAAAGGCGCGCGAUACAGGGUGACAGCCCCGUACACAAAAGCGCAUAUGCUGUGAGCUCGAUGAGUAGGGCGGGACACGUGGUAUCCUGUCUGAAUAUGGGGGGACCAUCCUCCAAGGCUAAAUACUCCUGACUGACCGAUAGUGAACCAGUACCGUGAGGGAAAGGCGAAAAGAACCCCGGCGAGGGGAGUGAAAAAGAACCUGAAACCGUGUACGUACAAGCAGUGGGAGCACCCUUUGGGGUGUGACUGCGUACCUUUUGUAUAAUGGGUCAGCGACUUAUAUUCUGUAGCAAGGUUAACCGAAUAGGGGAGCCGGAGGGAAACCGAGUCUUAAUUGGGCGUUAAGUUGCAGGGUAUAGACCCGAAACCCGGUGAUCUAGCCAUGGGCAGGUUGAAGGUUGGGUAACACUAACUGGAGGACCGAACCGACUAAUGUUGAAAAAUUAGCGGAUGACCUGUGGCUGGGGGUGAAAGGCCAAUCAAACCGGGAGAUAGCUGGUUCUCCCCGAAAGCUAUUUAGGUAGCGCCUCGUGAAUUCAUCUCCGGGGGUAGAGCACUGUUUCGGCUAGGGGGCCAUCCCGGCUUACCAACCCGAUGCAAACUGCGAAUACCGGAGAAUGUUAUCACGGGAGACACACGGCGGGUGCUAACGUCCGUCGUGAAGAGGGAAACAACCCAGACCGCCAGCUAAGGUCCCAAAGUCAUGGUUAAGUGGGAAACGAUGUGGGAAGGCCCAGACAGCCAGGAUGUUGGCUUAGAAGCAGCCAUCAUUUAAAGAAAGCGUAAUAGCUCACUGGUCGAGUCGGCCUGCGCGGAAGAUGUAACGGGGCUAAACCAUGCACCGAAGCUGCGGCAGCGAACGUAUCACUUAAAGCGAUUCAGCGGAUGACGAUUGACGGAGCGAAGCGACGUCAAAGCGUAUACAAAGUCGAGUCGGUUUAAGGAUACGUUCGUUGGGUAGGGGAGCGUUCUGUAAGCCUGUGAAGGUGUGCUGUGAGGCAUGCUGGAGGUAUCAGAAGUGCGAAUGCUGACAUAAGUAACGAUAAAGCGGGUGAAAAGCCCGCUCGCCGGAAGACCAAGGGUUCCUGUCCAACGUUAAUCGGGGCAGGGUGAGUCGACCCCUAAGGCGAGGCCGAAAGGCGUAGUCGAUGGGAAACGGGUUAAUAUUCCCGUACUUGGUGUUACUGCGAAGGGGGGACGGAGAAGGCUAUGUUGGCCGGGCGACGGUUGUCCCGGUUUAAGCGUGUAGGUGUGUGUUCCAGGUAAAUCCGGUUCACUUUAACACUGAGGCGUGACGACGAGGCACUACGGUGCUGAAGCAACAAAUGCCCUGCUUCCAGGAAAAGCCUCUAAGCAUCAGGUAACAUCAAAUCGUACCCCAAACCGACACAGGUGGUCAGGUAGAGAAUACCAAGGCGCUUGAGAGAACUCGGGUGAAGGAACUAGGCAAAAUGGUGCCGUAACUUCGGGAGAAGGCACGCUGACACGUAGGUGAAGUGAUUUACUCAUGGAGCUGAAGUCAGUCGAAGAUACCAGCUGGCUGCAACUGUUUAUUAAAAACACAGCACUGUGCAAACACGAAAGUGGACGUAUACGGUGUGACGCCUGCCCGGUGCCGGAAGGUUAAUUGAUGGGGUCAGCGCAAGCGAAGCUCCUGAUCGAAGCCCCGGUAAACGGCGGCCGUAACUAUAACGGUCCUAAGGUAGCGAAAUUCCUUGUCGGGUAAGUUCCGACCUGCACGAAUGGCGUAAUGAUGGCCAGGCUGUCUCCACCCGAGACUCAGUGAAAUUGAACUCGCUGUGAAGAUGCAGUGUACCCGCGGCAAGACGGAAAGACCCCGUGAACCUUUACUAUAGCUUGACACUGAACAUUGAGCCUUGAUGUGUAGGAUAGGUGGGAGGCUUUGAAGUGUGGACGCCAGUCUGCAUGGAGCCGACCUUGAAAUACCACCCUUUAAUGUUUGAUGUUCUAACGUGGACCCGUGAUCCGGGUUGCGGACAGUGUCUGGUGGGUAGUUUGACUGGGGCGGUCUCCUCCUAAAGAGUAACGGAGGAGCACGAAGGUUGGCUAAUCCUGGUCGGACAUCAGGAGGUUAGUGCAAUGGCAUAAGCCAGCUUGACUGCGAGCGUGACGGCGCGAGCAGGUGCGAAAGCAGGUCAUAGUGAUCCGGUGGUUCUGAAUGGAAGGGCCAUCGCUCAACGGAUAAAAGGUACUCCGGGGAUAACAGGCUGAUACCGCCCAAGAGUUCAUAUCGACGGCGGUGUUUGGCACCUCGAUGUCGGCUCAUCACAUCCUGGGGCUGAAGUAGGUCCCAAGGGUAUGGCUGUUCGCCAUUUAAAGUGGUACGCGAGCUGGGUUUAGAACGUCGUGAGACAGUUCGGUCCCUAUCUGCCGUGGGCGCUGGAGAACUGAGGGGGGCUGCUCCUAGUACGAGAGGACCGGAGUGGACGCAUCACUGGUGUUCGGGUUGUCAUGCCAAUGGCACUGCCCGGUAGCUAAAUGCGGAAGAGAUAAGUGCUGAAAGCAUCUAAGCACGAAACUUGCCCCGAGAUGAGUUCUCCCUGAGACUUAAAGUCUCCUGAAGGAACGUUGAAGACGACGACGUUGAUAGGCCGGGUGUGUAAGCGCAGCGAUGCGUUGAGCUAACCGGUACUAAUGAACCGUGAGGCUUAACCUU
rnacentral:rRNA from 1 species